UUCACCCUAACAUCGGAGGAUUUGGGUUUUUAAGUGAGACUACACAUAGCUCACAUCCCACAAAACUCACCGUUCCCUCUCCUCUCUUCGCUCCUCAUUGUUUUGUACCUCUACAAACAACCAACACCGGUCUCCUCUCCCUCCCACGAGCAGCAGGUGGCAGCCAUACACCAGCCCCGGUUUUCGUGACCUCCAGCAGGUAGCAGUCGUACAACUGCUUUCUGACCUUCCUCCACCACCUUGUGCAACCACCACCACCACAAUCACUUUAUCUCUCCACCCUUUUUUAGUUUUACCUCUGUGCCCAUUUUAUAAGAGGAAGGUAAAACUUUAGUUGGGGGGUUUUUGUGACUUUUUGAUCGUGCAGUGAUGCUGACAGGUACGUGCACGCAGUAACUAAUCCUUAUAUGCAAUUUGCUUAAAGACAUUAUUGUUUAUUGUGAUAAUAUGCAUUGUAUCAAAAGUAUGAGGUAUUAGUGAAUACACUUUGUAUGAAGAGUUAUCGACUAUGAAAUCUUUGCGCUUGGAAUAGUUUAAAGAAUGAGAGUGUUAGUAGAAGGCACAGACCACCCCCUUAUUUAUUUGAGAAUUGGAUUAUGCCUUACUUGGAGUUAGAAUGACUCCUUUAUAGGUGAAUUUCAUAUUUUGUUUUCGUUGCUCAGUGGGUUUCGGCGUUCUGCUGUCCCAGGGCACUCAUUAAUAGUCGAAAGCGGGAGCUAUUCCCAUUUGAUAAAGUAUUAGAUUAUGAUAAGCUGGCGUGAGUCAAUUGAAUUAUGUCCGGUUGAUAUAAUAGUCCCCUAGGUGAGAUCUUACGUGAUCAUUGUAUGGGGGGUAUGAGCAUACUUUUGUCAUUGGGUCGAUACCGCCCUUUGACUGAAGUGUUACCAUGCGGGCCUUGCCAACCCCAAUAUGGUGGCCUCAUCACUGGAUUAGUACCCCAGUGUGUUAGUUUUCCCAAAGGUAGGACUUGAGAGGGCCAGCUGAAGGGUAUGAGCUCACACUUUGCCAUGGGCACCGGGUGGUUGAUAACGCCCUUAGCCGUGUCACUAUGCUAUGAAGUGGAGAAAAGAUCUACAGAUAGAAUGUUACUCAUUGAUAGAAAGUUUAUUCAUUCAUAAAAAGCUUACACACUGAUAGAACGUUUGCUCAUUGAUAGGAAAUUUAUUGAAUGAUAGAGUAGUUUAUGCUAGUGAGAAGUGGGCCUAAGUUAAGUUACCUCAAGGAAGUUAUCAGUCCCAAAGAUAGACUAUGAUUACACUUACUUUAAGAUAGACAAGCUCUAUAAGGUCAUGUGUUAGGUAGUCUGUUAAUGCCUUGUUUGAGUUGAUACUACGCGUGUUUUGCAAGAGUUUAUGUUUUGAGAAGAGGAGUGUGAAGACCUGCAUUCUACCCAAGAACACAUGGUUCGAGUUGGAAAGGACAUAAUGAGAUUAAGAAGUAUAAGUGAACGAUAAACGAUUACUAUCUGUGCUUGUAUCUUAUGAAAUCAUCUUAUGUUCGUUGUAUAACAUAAUGUUAUCUAGUAGUUGGUCGUAUUAUAUUUGAUGCUAGUUACUGACGUGUACGUGUUUGUGUUUAUGUUUGAUUGUUGAUGACUCUCUAUGAUUGUCCUGAUAUGACACAUUGUGCUUUGGUCUGAUGUCGAGCAGCCCGAGGAUCAUAAACAGGCGUAGUAGGUAUUGAAACUUUUUUUGCAUUGCAUUGGGGGCGAGUGAUGAGGGCGAAGCAUAACCUAUGUCAUACCGUUAUCUUUUGAUUUUGUAGCUCUUGUUUAUCUUUUGUACACUUUGGUUGUAUACGUUUUGUUAUGAAGCCUUGUAUCCUCCUUUGUUUAUUUGUAUUUUCGUUGCAUAGAAUUUUGUAUGGUAUUAAGGAGUUGAGUCAUUUUAAAACGCAAGUGUCGACACUGGAACCACGAUUGAUGCUUAGCAUGUUGAUUUGAGAAGCCGACGAUGAAUCAUUCCGCCGUGGUGUGAGAUUUUAAAGGCAAUGAUGCCUUAGAUUAGUUUAAUGUUUUUAUUGUGCUAAUUGCUCUACCACAUGUUCGAUGUUUAGUAGAGAUGUUGACGAAUUUUUCACUCACCUUUUAAAGCUAAUCUUUAACGUAUACAUAUAAUUUUUUUUUCCUUUCUUCUCUUUUUAUGUAACACCCGAAUUUCCUCCUGUUAUUUACGAUUUUGGUUUCGUAUAAGGGGUUGGAAUUCAGAGGUAUUACAGCCAAACUAGUACAAACCUGAUACUCCAAACAACUUAUCUUCAACUGAAUCGUAACUAUGCAACUCAACUCCAGUAUGACCUUGUCGCAACCUAUAUCCAAAAAGAAACCAAUUCGAAUGUAACCAAAUCGACACCUGGUUGAAAAUUCGAUAACUUAAAUAAACACCACACAAAAUAUUUUCAUACUUUUUCAUUAAAGGUGUUCAUAAACGAAUAGCAAACCAGGCUUGCCUCAAAAACCUACCAAUGGGACUAAAUUUUCAAAAAGCCACUCGCUUUAGCCCACUUACUUUAUUUGCUACUAGCCCGCUCUUGUUCUUAAUGGGCAGGACCUCCAUGAUUGAGUUUUUGAUUUUAGAAUAAGUAAAUUACUAUUUUUUUAUGUUCAUAUAGUUAGUUUAUAGCUUAAAGACAAAAAAUGACAUUGAUCAAGUUAAAAACCAACACAAAAUUACCCCUGUCAAUUUAGCAAUAUCGAAUUGAAAUAUUUUUUAUUAAGAUUUUUCUUAUCAGAACUUAUAAUAAUAAUAAUCACUAGCCACCUAUAUAUAAUUCAUAAAUAAAUCUGUAAAUUGGUCAGAAUUAUAUUGAAUUAAAAGAAAUAUACAUAAAUUUACCGUAAAUUAAGCAAAUCAAAAUUGAAUUAUAUGAAAACAUCUUUAAUUUGGGUUGUUCUUGUUCCCUAUAUUUGUCUAAAGUUAAAGUAAAAAAUACAAAAAAGUUACCCCUUUAUCUUAGGAGUCUAUUCCCACAAUAUUGCAAAAUAAAAAAAUAAUUCCCACUUUCCUUAAAAUGGAAAAGUAAUUCUCACUUUACCGUCCACGUAGGAUUAUUUUGAAAUUUUUUUUUUUUUAAUUUUUAAUAUAACCGCUACUUGAGGUAGCGGUUUUGUUUAGGGAAUUGAAGAAAAUCGCCAGAUGAAAUGGCGGUUUGGUAAUUUUUUUAUUUUUUUAAAAAAAAAAAAAAUUUUGGGUAAACCGCCACUUGAAGUGGCGGUUUUAUACCUGUACAAAAUGGCAGUAUCUGUUCUUUUUCUUCACUCAUUUCAUUUGCUUCCUUCCCUUCGCUGCUGCCGGUUAUCUAAAAAAAAAAAAUUCUUCAAUUCUCAUUUACUUCAUAUUCACAAUUCCUCUCAUUUAACUAAAUUAAUCAACUACAUUCUCAUCUUCUCCUUCUUUACUUGUUCAUAUUCAUCAUCAUUUAAGGUAAUAACAUAACCCUAAUUCAUUUCAAUUUGCAAAUUGAAUAUUUUGUUCAUUAUUGUUUUCAAUUGAAGUUAUAAAUACAUUGAUUGUUUAAUAAAUUCUCUUGUUUUCAUGAUAUAAGCUUACAUUUUACACAUUUGUAGUUGAAUUUUAGGAUUUGGUUUGUAUGCAUAUAAAGUGUUUGAUGAUAUGCUUCAAUGAAAGUUUAUU